rnacentral:sRNA from 1 species
GCAAGGAACAAGUGGCACGUUCCAGCGACUAUCUCGAUGGCCAGUUGAGCUUUCGUGAGCGCUUGAUGGUGCGUCAUCACUUGAUGUUCUGCCCCAACUGCCGGCGCUUUAUCCGCCAGAUGCGCUUGAUGCAGGCCACCCUGAAGCACAUGCCUGAACCGCCGGUCGAAAAUCUCGAAGCCCUGUCCGCGCAACUGGCUGCACAGCGCCAGGAUGCCGGAAAGCCCUAGUACUAAAAAGCCACUAUUUUUUUGCCAGAGCCCCGUAAACCGGGGCUUUUCGCG